rnacentral:rRNA from 1 species
GAUGAACGCUAGCGAUAGGCCUAACACAUGCAAGUCGAGGGGCAUCACAUGAAGUAGCAAUACGGAUGGUGGCGACCGGCGCACGGGUGAGUAGCACGUAUGCAACCUGCCUUCAACAAGGGGAUAACCCGUUGAAAGACGGACUAAUACCCUAUAACACAGGGGUCCCGCAUGGGAAUAUUUGUUAAAGGACAACCGGUUGAAGAUGGGCAUGCGUUCCAUUAGCUAGUUGGCGGGGUAACGGCCCACCAAGGCAACGAUGGAUAGGGGAACUGAGAGGUUUAUCCCCCACACUGGUACUGAGACACGGACCAGACUCCUACGGGAGGCAGCAGUGAGGAAUAUUGGUCAAUGGACGCAAGUCUGAACCAGCCACGUCGCGUGAAGGAAGACGGCCCUACGGGUUGUAAACUUCUUUUAUACGGGAAUAAAGUGCCCCACGCGUGGGGUUUUGCAUGUACCGUAUGAAUAAGGAUCGGCUAACUCCGUG